rnacentral:lncRNA from 1 species
CUACUAUCAGGAAUCUUGAGGAUCUUCAAAGCAGACUCCUGAAGCAUUUACUGAGGAUAACAAAAUCAUAGGAAAAUACGAUGAGAAGUUGGCAGUCUGCAUCUCAGAAGAGAGCCCUCACAGAACUUGACCAUGCUGGCACUUUGCUCUUGGACUUCCAGUCCCCAGAACUAUGAGAAAUAGAUUUCUGUUGUUUAAGCCACUCAGUCUGUGAUAUUUUAUUAUGGCAGCCAGAACUGACAAAGACAGUAUUAUAUUUAUAUUAUAUUAUAUUAAUGUAUCCCAUCUUUGUCUUUUCAGUUAAGAGGUGUUUAAGAUAUAUCUAUAUGGAUAUAUGUAGAAUGGGUGCAUUAAUUUAAUUUACACUUCUAUAUAAUAUUCAAAUAUAUACAUAUACCACAAUAUAUUAAUUGAUUCUUCUCCUCAUAGAGAUUUAUGUUAUCUGUACCUUUCUUUUUGCUUUUCUAAGCACUUUUGCUAUGCAUAUUCUUAUAUACAUGUUUUGCAUGUAUGAAGAUUUAUCUAGAGUUAAAUGCAUAAAAAUAAGUUGCUAAAUCAUUUUCUACUUUUCCAAGUUUUGCCAAAGAACCUUCAAAUUGGCUUUAGGAAUUUACAUUCUUUUAUGAAGAUGGGAGAAUUUUAACUAAUUUAUAUGCAUUCUCUACUGUCAGGCUUUUAGU